AACUAAAGGGGGAUUGAUUUUGGACGAAUUUUGAAAACAAAACAAAACUUUGUAGAUUGAAAAGACUCUAAAACGAAUUUGGUUUAAAUGGAUGGAUGGAAGGCUAGCUAAGGAGUUCAUCUCCACACAUGUCACACCUGCAUAUAAAACGAUCUCUAAUUGCUUUUCAAUAAACCAUGAAUUCCCAACGCCCCAAGUUAAUUAGGUCCGCUUAAAUUAACCUUCAGAUUUUCCUAAUGUUAUUGAAUUGGAUGAUUGCAUACGACAACCCAAAACAUUCCCCACAAGUCCCCUACAUGAUUGCAUAAU
rnacentral:lncRNA from 1 species